UGCAAGCACCGGGGCAGUACACAGGAGUAGCUUCGCGGAAUUGAACGAAUGCUCACAUUCCGGAGACCACUUAAACGGAACCUUGGGUGACAAAAGCGAAGACAGGGGGGCUACCACCGUCGAAACGUUUUUGCAAAACGUACGGUAAUAACCCACCAUACCUAGGAAACGGCGAAGCUCACGGCGCGUAACAGGGGCAGGGAAACUAGCUAUGGCUUCCACCUUGCUAGCUAACAACCGAACCUGCCCAUGUCCCACCUGUUUUCCAAGGUACGUCAUGAAACAAGGUACGCCCCCGCCUGCAGCGCAACAGUGGCCACUGAAGAGACAGCGGGCUGGAUGGGCUUAUUGGAGAGAGUGUUAGAAGGACCUCG